rnacentral:lncRNA from 1 species
AUGCUAGAUCUAUUUUAUUUUGUUAAGGAGAAAGGGAUGCCUUGAUUGUCGUAUUGAUUUUCUUCUUCUUUUUGUUCCAAAAGAUUGAAACUGAAGAGCUGGAAGGAGGACAUUACAACAUCUCUUAUAUUUGCAAGAUGAAGCAGAAAGUCCCAUGCAGGAUGAUGCCUCUCUACAGUGGAUGAUGAAGGCAUUCUGGUUUGCAAACUCAGGAGAGGAACAAAGAACAGAUGUUGACGGGAUCAUAUCUAGAGAUGCGGGCCUACUACACUUCAUACGAGCAAGUGUGCUAAUAUACAUGAAGACUUGGGUUAUAUUUUUUUCUGAAAACUAGGCUACAACUUUAGUGAUGGAUGCAGAAGAUAUCUACACGAGACUACGUCUUAAAGAUGCCACCCUCAUAUAAUGAAAAAGGACAAUAGAGAUGGGUUUAAACUGGAAUAUUUACAUGAUAUUUAUUUGUUAUUUGU